CGCGGGGUGGAGCAGCCCGGUAGCUCGUCAGGCUCAUAACCUGAAGGUCGUAGGUUCAAAUCCUACCCCCGCAUCCA
rnacentral:tRNA from 23 species